AACGUAGGACGCAAGCGUUAUCCGGAGUUACUGGGCGUAAAGCGCGGGCAGGCGGCUCGAUGCGUCCGAUGUGAAAGCGCCCCGCUUAACGGGGCGAGGCCAUUGGAAACGGUCGGGCUGGAGGGCAGUAGAGGCAGGCGGAAUUCCGGGUGGAGUGGUGAAAUGCGUAGAGAUCCGGAGGAACACCAGAGGCGAAGGCGGCCUGCUGGGGAGUUUGGCUGACACUGAGGCGCGACAGCGUGGGGAGCAAACAGG
rnacentral:rRNA from 1 species